UGACAUCUGAAGAGUUUGGGAAGGGAUUGGAUUUUACUUUGUGGAGUAAGAUAAACCUUUUUUUGCAAGGAUCUUCUCCAUCUGGAACUGGCUACUGCUCUCCUUGGCUCCGUUGAAGGCAAUUUGGAUUUACCACAAAUAGAUGAGUACUCUAAUUUGGAGACUGAAAGAUGGUUUAUCCAGGCUCUGAAACACUGACACCUUGAGAGCUUGGGAUCUGAAUCCUAGACCUCAAACCAAGCUUCACAGCCAGACUUGGGCUAUGGGACGGAGGAGCACAGAACCAUUGAUGAAGAUCUACCGGAACUAGGAUUGAAGAUAAAGAUGUCACUGGAAUCAGAAUAUAGUGUUUACAUGUAAAAGGUGGUGCCAGCCCAUCCUCAAGUUAACAAGAUACAGCUGCUGCUGUUGCAGCCUUGAGGGAUGCCACCUCCAUAGAAUGCCUGAUCCUGAUGAGGAAAAGAAAGAAAAGGAGUAGAGAGGAAAUGUUCAGUGAGAUCCUGCAAGUCAGUUGCUGCAUCAAACCAUGAACAAAGGGCCUGGAUGCCAACAUGGCAGACAGCUUGGAGAAGAAAAAAGCAGAUAGGAGAAAGGCCCAGGAAAUCCAGCAGGAAAAGGUGAAGGAGA